UACGGGAGGCAGCAGUGGGGAAUAUUGCACAAUGGGCGCAAGCCUGAUGCAGCCAUGCCGCGUGUAUGAAGAAGGCCUUCGGGUUGUAAAGUACUUUCAGUCGUGAGGAAGGUGUUAAGGUUAAUAACCUUAGCAAUUGACGUUAGCGACAGAAGAAGCACCGGCUAACUCCGUGCCAGCAGCCGCGGUAAUACGGAGGGUGCGAGCGUUAAUCGGAAUUACUGGGCGUAAAGGGCACGCAGGCGGUUAAUUAAGUUGGAUGUGAAAUCCCCGGGCUUAACCUGGGAAUGGCAUUCAAGACUGGUUAGCUAGAGUCUUGUAGAGGGGGUAGAAUUCCAUGUGUAGCGGUGAAUGCGUAGAGAUGUGGAGGAAUACCGGUGGCGAAGGCGGCCCCUGGACAAGACUGACGCUCAUGUGCGAAAGCGUGGGGAGCAAACAGGGAUUAGAUACC
rnacentral:rRNA from 1 species